CAGUGUAGCGGUGGGAAUGCGUAGAUAUUGUGAAGAAUACCGAUGGCGAAGGCAGCUUUCUGGUUCUGUACUGACACUGAGGUGCGAAAGCGUGGGUAGCGAACAGGAUUAGAUACCCUGGUAGUCCACGCCGUAAACGAUGACAACUAGCUGUUGGGAAGCUAUGCUUUUCAGUGGCGCAGCUAACGUCUUAAGUUGUCCGCCUGGGGAGUACGGCCGCAAGGUUAAAACUCAAAUGAAUUGACGGGGACCCGCACAAGCGGUGGAGCAUGUGGUUUAAUUCGAUGCAACGCGAAAAACCUUACCUACACUUGACAUACUUGGAAUCUUUUGUAAUGAAAGAGUGCCUUUUGGAGCCAAGAUACAGGUGCUGCAUGGCUGUCGUCAGCUCGUGUCGUGAGAUGUUGGGUUAAGUCCCAUAACGAGCGCAACCCUUACCCUUAUUUGCCAGCGAUUCGGUCGGGAACUAUAAGGGGACUGCCGGUGAUAAACCGGAGGAAGGUGAGGACGACGUCAAGUCAUCAUGGCCCUUACGUGUAGGGCUACACACGUGCUACAAUGGGGAGUACAGAUAGACGCUAAAGCGCGAGCUGGUGCUAAUCUCAUAAAACUCUUCGUAGUCCGGAUUGCAGUCUGCAACUCGACUGCAUGAAGUCGGAAUCGCUAGUAAUCGCGAAUCAGCAUGUCGCGGUGAAUACGUUCUCGGGUCUUGUACACACCGCCCGUCACACCAUGGGAGUGUAUUGCACCAGAAGUGGGUAGUCUAACCUUCGGGAGGGCGCUCACCACGGUGUGGUCCAUGACUGGGGUGAAGUCGUAACAAGGUAACC
rnacentral:rRNA from 1 species